GCCCGGUUAGCUCAGUUGGUAGAGCAUCAGACUUUUAACGUGAGGGGCAUGGUUUCCAGUCCCAUAUCGGGCU
rnacentral:tRNA from 1 species